GGAAAACUUACCAGGUCCGGACAUAGUGAGGAUUGACAGAUUGAAGAUCUUUCUUGAUUCUAUGGGUGGUGGUGCAUGGCCGUUUUUAGUUGGUGGAGUGAUUUGUCUGGUUAAUUCCGAUAACGAACGAGACCUCAGCCUGCUAAUUAGUCGGUGCUAUUGCUUUUGUGAUAGUGUCCGCUUACUUCUUAGAGGGACUAUGCGUGCGUAACGCAUGGAAGUGUGAGGCAAUAA
rnacentral:rRNA from 1 species